rnacentral:rRNA from 1 species
AGUCUCCUGUGGGUGUUCCCGAGUAGCGGCGGACUCCUGUAAUCUGCCGUGAAUCUGCCAGGACCAUCUGGUAAGCCUAAAUACUUCCUGGUGACCGAUAGCGGAUAGUACCGUGAGGGAAUGGUGAAAAGUACCCCGGGAGGGGAGUGAAAUAGUACCUGAAACCGUUCGCCUACAAUCCGUCGGAGCCUUUAGGGGUGACGGCGUGCCUUUUGAAGAAUGAGCCUGCGAGUUAGUGGCAUGUGGCGAGGUUAACCCGGGUGGGGGAGCCGUAGCGAAAGCGAGUCUGAAUAGGGCGUUAGAGUCGCGUGUCCUAGACCCGAAGCGGAGUGAUCUAGCCAUGGGCAGGCUGAAGCGUGGGUAAGACUGCGUGGAGGGCCGAACCCACCAACGUUGAAAAGUUGGGGGAUGACCUGUGGUUAGGGGUGAAAGGCCAAUCAAACUCCGUGAUAGCUGGUUCUCCCCGAAAUGCAUUUAGGUGCAGCGUCGUGUGUUUCUUGCCGGAGGUAGAGCACUGGAUGGUCUAGGGGGCCUACAAGCUUACCGAAAUCAGCCAAACUCCGAAUGCCGGUAAGUGAGAGCGCGGCAGUGAGACUGCGGGGGAUAAGCUUCGUAGUCGAGAGGGAAACAGCCCAGAUCACCAGCUAAGGCCCCUAAGCGUGUGCUAAGUGGAAAAGGAUGUGGGGUCGCAUAGACAACCAGGAGGUUGGCUUAGAAGCAGCCAUCCUUGAAAGAGUGCGUAAUAGCUCACUGGUCAAGUGGUUCCGCGCCGACAAUGUAGCGGGGCUCAAGCACACCGCCGAAGCUGUGGCAUUCACGCGUGUACUUCGCAUGGCCUUUGGGUUGUGUGUAGGUGUGUGGAUGGGUAGGGGAGCGUCGUGCCGGGGGUGAAGCAGCCGAGUGAUCGAGUUGUGGACGCGGUGCGAGUGAGAAUGCAGGCAUGAGUAGCGAAUGAAGGGUGAGAAACCCUUCCGCCGGAUGACCAAGGGUUCCAGGGCCAGGUUAAUCCGCCCUGGGUGAGUCGGGGCCUAAGGCGAGGCCGAGAGGCGUAGUCGAUGGAUAACGGGUUGAUAUUCCCGUACCCGCGAAGGAGCGUCCCUGAUGAACUUCGUUGUGCUAACCAUCCGAUCUUGGUGUGGUCUUUGGACUGUGCUGGGGGAGCGUGGGAACCUGGCGGGUAGUAGUCAAGCGAUGGGGUGACGCAGGAAGGUAGCUGAGCCCGGCCGGUGGUUGUGCCGGGGUAAGCGUGUAGGCUGUGUCGUAGGUAAAUCCGCGGCGCGUGUGGCUGAGACGUGAUGCCGAGCCGAUUCAGGUGAAGUCAGUGAUCCUAUGCUGUCGAGAAAAGCCUCUAGCGAGUUCCGAGCGGCCCGUACCCUAAACCGACACAGGUGGUCAGGUAGAGAAUACCAAGGCGAUCGGGUGAACUGUGGUUAAGGAACUCGGCAAAUUGCCCCCGUAACUUUGGGAGAAGGGGGGCCGGAGACGUGAAGGCACGUGCUGCUGGAGCGUUGUAUGGCCGCAGAGAGCAGGGGGAAGCGACUGUUUACUAAAAACACAGGUCCAUGCGAAGAAGUAAUUCGAUGUAUAUGGACUGACGCCUGCCCGGUGCUGGAACGUUAAGGGGACCUGUUAGUCUUUCGGGGCGAAGCGGAGAACUUAAGCGCCAGUAAACGGCGGUGGUAACUAUAACCAUCCUAAGGUAGCGAAAUUCCUUGUCGGGUAAGUUCCGACCUGCACGAAUGGCGUAACGACUUCCCCACUGUCUCAACCACAGGCCCGGCGAAAUUGCAUUACGAGUAAAGAUGCUCGUUACGCGCGGCAGGACGGAAAGACCCCGGGACCUUUACUAUAGCUUGACAUUGGUAUCUGAAUUAGCUUGUGUAGGAUAGGUGGGAGCC